rnacentral:rRNA from 1 species
AAACAUAGGUUUCUGCUAAGUCGCAAGACGAUGUAUAGGAGCUGACGCCUGCCCGGUGCUGGAAGGUUAAGGGGAUCUGUUAGAGUAAUCGAAGCAGUGAACUUAAGCCCCAGUAAACGGCGGCCGUAACUAUAACGGUCCUAAGGUAGCGAAAUUCCUUGUCGGGUAAGUUCCGACCCGCACGAAAGGCGUAACGAUUUGGGCACUGUCUCAACAACAGACUCGGUGAAAUUGUAAUUCCGGUGAAGAUGCCGGAUACCUGCGACAGGACGGAAAGACCCCAUGGAGCUUUACUGUAGCUUGACAUUGGGUCUUGGUACUACAUGUACAGGAUAGGUGGGAGGCUUUGAAACCAGGACGCCAGUUUUGGCGGAGCCAUCCUUGGGAUACCACCCUUGUAGUACUGGGACUCUAACCAUAGGCCAUGAAUCUGGUCUUGGGACACUGUCAGGUGGGCAGUUUGACUGGGGCGGUCGCCUCCCAAAAGGUAACGGAGGCGCUCAAAGGUUCUCUCAGUACGGUCGGAAAUCGUACGUAGAGUGUAAAGGCAAAAGAGAGCUUGAUUGCAAGACAUACAGGUCGAGCAAGGAUGAAAAUCGGACUUAGUGAUCCGGUGGUUCUGCGUGGAAGGGCCAUCGCUCAACGGAUAAAAGCUACCCUGGGGAUAACAGGCUUAUCUCCCCCAAGAGUCCACAUCGACGGGGAGGUUUGGCACCUCGAUGUCGGCUCAUCACAUCCUGGGGCUGUAGUAGGUCCCAAGGGUUGGGCUGUUCGCCCAUUAAAGUGGUACGCGAGCUGGGUUCAGAACGUCGUGAGACAGUUCGGUCCCUAUCCGUCGCAGGCGUAGGAAAUUUGAGAAGACCUGUCCUUAGUACGAGAGGACCGGGAUGGACG